rnacentral:rRNA from 1 species
GAUGAACGCUGGCGGCGUGCCUAAUACAUGCAAGUCGAGCGAACGGACGAGAAGCUUGCUUCUCUGAUGUUAUCGGCGGACGGGUGAGUAACACGUGGAUAACCUACCUAUAAGACUGGGAUAACUUCGGGAAACCGGAGCUAAUACCGGAUGAUAUUUUGAACCGCAUGGUUCAAAAGUGAAAGACGGUCUUGCUGUCACUUAUAGGUGGAUCCGCGCUGCAUUAGCUAGUUGGUAAGGUAACGGCUUACCAAGGCAACGAUGCAUAGCCGACCUGAGAGAGUGAUCGGCCACACUGGAACUGAGACACGGUCAAGACUCCUACGGGAGGCAGCAGUAGGGAAUCUUCCGCAGUGGGCGAAAGCCUGACGGAGCAACGCCGCGUGAGUGAUGAAGGUCUUCGGAUCGUAAAACUCUGUUAUUAGGGAAGAACAUAUGUGUAAGUAACUGUGCACAUCUUGACGGUACCUAAUCAGAAAGCCACGGCUAACUACGUG